rnacentral:rRNA from 1 species
AGUCGAACGGCAGCACGGACUUCGGUCUGGUGGCGAGUGGCGAACGGGUGAGUAAUGUAUCGGAACGUGCCCAGUCGUGGGGGAUAACGUAGUGAAAAUUACGCUAAUACCGCAUACGAUCUAUGGAUGAAAGCGGGGGAUCGCAAGACCUCGCGCGAUUGGAGCGGCCGAUAUCAGAUUAGGUAGUUGGUAGGGUAAAGGCCUACCAAGCCAACGAUCUGUAGCUGGUCUGAGAGGACGACCAGCCACACUGGAACUGAGACACGGUCCAGACUCCUACGGGAGGCAGCAGUGGGGAAUUUUGGACAAUGGGCGAAAGCCUGAUCCAGCCAUUCCGCGUGCAGGAUGAAGGCCCUCGGGUUGUAAACUGCUUUUGUACAGAACGAAAAGGUUUCUACUAAUACUAGGAGCUCAUGACGGUACUGUAAGAAUAAGCACCGGCUAACUACGUGCCAGCAGCCGCGGUAAUACGUAGGGUGCAAGCGUUAAUCGGAAUUACUGGGCGUAAAGCGUGCGCAGGCGGUUAUAUAAGUCAGAUGUGAAAUCCCCGGGCUCAACCUGGGAACUGCAUUUGAGACUGUAUAGCUAGAGUACGGUAGAGGGGGAUGGAAUUCCGCGUGUAGCAGUGAAAUGCGUAGAUAUGCGGAGGAACACCGAUGGCGAAGGCAAUCCCCUGGACCUGUACUGACGCUCAUGCACGAAAGCGUGGGGAGCAAACAGGAUUAGAUACCCUGGUAGUCCACGCCCUAAACGAUGUCAACUGGUUGUUGGGUCUUAACUGACUCAGUAACGAAGCUAACGCGUGAAGUUGACCGCCUGGGGA